GAAAAAGGAAAAGAAGAAGGGAAAAAGAAAAGAAAAGGAGGGAUAUUUGCACAAAUUGGAGCUCAAGUGUGGGGAUUUAUUCAUUUCAAAUUUUCAGCAAGGAGGUAACGAGGCGAUUGGAAACGUCUAUCAGCCUAUCUAGCUUGUAGUUCAUACCUCGAGAAGGUCGAUUUUGAGAUAUUUGGGAAAGCCUGCUGAAGCAAAAGAGACCGUUUCAUAAGUAUGUAAUGAAUAGUUGGGAAACUUAUGUUUAUUAAGUAAUUGUCUAAUUUUGGGUGACAAGCAUAUUUGUAGAAGAGUUUGUAAGUGAUGUAAUACUUGCAUGUUGACAGGAUGAUGUUGUAGAAACACUCAGUUGAAUUUUGUUAUAUUUUGAAAUAGUUGUGGU